CUUUAUCUCUCAUGGGUGGAUACUCAUGGUCUCUUGAGACUGAAGGAUGCCUACUGCUACAGUGACACACAGACCUUCUACAUGAAAAACAUCUGUUUUUUCUCUUUGUUCAUCACCAUUCAUUGUCCCAGGACAGCUCUGGAUAGUGUUUGAUGGCAGCGGAAAAGUAUCAUCAUUUUGCAAUUUGAGUAAUGCUGCAGCUUCAUUUGGGCAGGGAUUGAAGUGCAGAGGGAAGUGCAACAGAAGAUCCAGUAGCAGUUAAGAGUUCAACAGAACCAGCCUAUCCAUCUCCUAGCUUUCUGAUUCUUUCCUAGCAGCACCUGUUUGUCUUUUUGCCAUCAGAGAUCUUUGUUCCAUCUGGCUUUCCUUCUAUUCGGCUUCCCACCAUAUUGGAGGAUCAGGCUUCUACGAGGCAUGAGCAAAGAUGAUGGAAUGCAGAGUUGAGCACAGUGACACUCAACAAAAAAUACAAGAUGUCAUCUACCAUGAAGCACCCAAUAUAGCCUUCCCUUAAAGUCAAUGGAACGGACUUGAUAGCGUGAACUAAUCAUUUCGAAAAUCAACCUAAUGCAGCUAAGUUGGACCUAAACUCCCAGUGUAGACUAGGCCUGGAUCCCUGAAAAAUAGCUGGAUGACACUGCAAGCCCUAUUCUAGCAUCCCUUGUCUCCCAGGGUACUUGGCACAUCGCACACCUGGAAAAGACAAAAUAGCAGGCAGCACUUCACUUAUCUUCUCUACAAACAUCAAAUGCAAGAGAGGUGCUUCAGACAGAAGACCAAAAUACGAAACUGUCCAGGAGAAAACCGGACACCUGGCAACCCUAGGCUCCGCUGAUGUCAAUGAAUCCAUGACCAUUUACACCAGCUUUGUUUUGCACAACACUGAAGUUCUAAAAAGCUUGUCACAGUGUGGGGACAUACUGAAGGAGGACCUAUGAACACGCACAGUAAAGUGUCUGCAGAUUCUCUUCCACUCAGU